CGUCCGUGCGCUCGGGUCUCCAAGACCUUGCAACUCCAUCCACCAGCCGAGGGCUUUGGCUUCCCGUGCGCCCCCUCGCCCCGCGCUCCUCUCGCCUCCUCCCAGCCGCUCGGGCCUUGACCUACUAUCAUCCUCAGAAAUUCCUGUUAGGAGAAAAAAAAAUGAAGAUUGGGGCAGAGGGGGUGCCAGUAGGUGCUUAUUAGAAGAUAGGAGAUGUCUUCUUUAAUGCUUAUGGGAAUUCCAGAUGAAUGUUCUUCUUAGUUGGAUUCGGAUGAAGUGCUAUGUUCCAGAACAAUGAAUGUCUUGUCAGUCCAAGGAAGUAAUUUGCACUGGCGAGGAUGUGAUCAUACCUGAUAUAUAGUUUUACAUUUCCCAAAAGGAAGCGAGACUUUCUACGCCAGACGGUUACAGUUGGAAGUUAUCUUGGAGAGCAU